GGUCCAGUGGCGAAGUGGUUCGCGUCCACCUUAACUUGAUGAUAGAGAGCAAAGGUUUCUGCGGAAGGUGCCCGUUCGAUUCGGGUCUGGGCCA